rnacentral:rRNA from 1 species
GAUGAACGCUGGCGGCGUGCCUAACACAUGCAAGUCGAGCGAAGCACUCUACCUGAUUUCUUCGGGAUGAAGGUUUAGUGACUGAGCGGGCGUGGGCAAGGUACGCUAGGUAACUGCUCAUACAGGGGAUAACAGUUAGAAAUGACUGCUAAAUACCGCAUAAGACCACAGCACCGCAUGGUGCAGGGGUAAAAACUCCGGUGGUAUGAGAUGGAUCCGCGUCUGAAUUAGCUAGUUGGUAAGGUAACGGCUUACCAAGGCAACGAUCAGUAGCCGACCUGAGAGGGUGACCGGCCACAUUGGAACCUGAGACACGGUCCAA